rnacentral:lncRNA from 1 species
CACGUGUUUUUCGCUUAAACCAGUAGUAAAAAGAGGCUUUUCAAUCACUAAAGAAACUUCAGAAAUUUGAACCCCCAUUUCUUCUGGGAAUAAACCCUCACAGAAAUAAUAUUUACGGUACUAAAAAUAGAAUAACAACGUGGUACCGAGAUAUAGUAAUUAAUAAGAAUAAAAGAGUAUCAACAACAUUAAAAUUUUUACGUGGAAAACCUUUCUUGAAUAAGAGAAAAAAUCACGGUCCGAGAGGAGCAACAUAUAUCACUAUAGCAAGAAAUUUUACACUUUGCAGAUCCAAGUAAAAUACUCCAAAGACAACUAAAAUACUGAAAAGAAAUAACCCUCUUUUGAUAUUCCCACCUCACUACAAUAUCGCUCACUCUCUAUUUUUCUUACAGACUAUUUUCUUAUACCAUGUCUGUUAAACCUCACUCUUUCUUUCUAACUCUCAGAUAUAUUUUUCCU